ensembl:lncRNA
CUGUGACUUUCCCGGGAGUAGGUGUGGGGUGGGGGGCGGCUUUCCUAGCUGGGCCUAUUCUUUCCUUCCCCCACCGCCGUGGGAGAGCCCUCACGAUGAGAGGUUCCCACCGCGCCCCCCUCCCUGGAGAGGCCGGCAGUUUGCCUUUUCAGAGGAUAAUUCCCUAUUAUCCAGAGAUAUUUAGCCUAAUAGAAGCCGACAGAUCAUUCAGGGCAGUAAUGUACUCCAGCUUCCAGCGUUUAGUUUCCUUGGCCUGAACUCCCAGAUUAAAGGCUCCUUGCCCGCGACUGCCCCACAACGAUGCCUGUGACCUUGACUGCAGUGAUGCGGGACUCCACAGCCAUGUCCUGGUUGCACUGAGCCUGCCUCCUGCCAGCAUUUUGGGGCUCUGUCCCUGCCCAGCUCCUGGACCCACUCCCCAGCCUAUUCCUCACCCCAGCCUGCACCGAAGUGACUCCUCAAGCUUCAGGACUCAGUGGGGCACAGUGGCAGUCACGUGCAUGCUGGGACCGAGACGGACGGGCCGCAGCUCCCCCUGCCACGCCCCCGGCCCCCAGAGGCCCGGCUGUUUGCCUCCCGGAGCCGUCUGACCCAGGUAGGGGGAGAUGGAGGUAGGCUCUCCCUCGUUGUGUCUCUGCAGUGGGUGGGAGGACUCUAAGA